UUUGGAGUCUGGGAGAUUCAUCUUCCUGAGUUCAAAUCUGGCUUCAGACACUUACUAGCUAGGUAACUCUGAGCAGGUCACUUAACCCUGCAUGCCUCAGUUUCCUCAUCUGUAAAAUAAUCUGGAGAAGGAAAUGUCAAACCACUCCAGUAUCUGUGCCCAGAAGACUCCAAAAUGACUAAACAACAGCAAUAAAGUCAAGAGACCACCAGCAAGGAUUAGUUUCUAUUUGAGUCUGACACUAUUGGGAAGGAAUCUCAAACGUGGGCCAGCCUGAAAGAGCUACAAGUGGGAAUUAACCCAGAAGGCAUUUUGACCUUGAUUGUUUCAUUCAAAUGUAGCAUAAUGAGAUAGAAAGCUACUCUCUCAGAGUCCAGAGAGACCUCAAUUCAAGUCCUGCCUCUGACUCUUCUUAAUUGAAUUUCACUUCUCAGUGCCUCCAGGCAACUCUCCACUACUCCAAUUUGUAGAAUAGGUGUCAGUCUGCCACUAGAGAAGACAUUUCUUCAUUGGGAUUUCCUUAAACCAAAGAAAUCAACACCCACCCACUCUUUUUUUUCAUUUUGUUAAAAUGAUGCAGUGGAUAAAAUGCUGGACCAGGAGUCAGAAGAUUCAUCUUCCCCCAAAGAGAUAAUAAGGAAAAAGACCUGCACAAAAAUAUUUAUAGCCACGCUCUUUGUGGUGGCAAAAAAUGGGAAAAUGGAGGGGGGAGGGGUUGUCCAUCGAUUGGAGAAUGACUGAAUAUUAUUGUGCUCAAAGGAAUAAUGAACUGGAGGGAUUCCAUGUGACCUGGAACGACCUCCAGGAAGUGAUGCAGAGUGAAAGGAGCAGAACCAGGAGAACUUUGUACACAGAGACCGAAUGUAAUGGACUUCUCUACUAGCAGCAAUGCAGUGAUCCAGGGCAAUCCAGAGGAAUUUAGAAGAACCAAUCCACAUCCAGAGAAAGAACUGUGGGAGCAGAAAUGCAUUAGAAAAAUAUAUUAUCGACCACCCUAUGCAAUAGGAUCACUCUUCUACAAUAUGAAAUACAUGGAAAUAGGUUUUAAACAAUGUUACGCUUAUAACCCACUGGAAUUGCUUUUUGGUUUUGGGAAGGGGGAGGAGAAAGCGGGGGCAGGGAGGGAUCAUGAAAUCGUGUAACCAUGGAAAAAUAUUCUCAAUGAACAUUUUUUUUUUAAGUCUCAUCUUCCUCAGUUCAAAUCUGGCUUCAGAUACUUACUAGCUGUAUAACUCUGGACAAGUCACUUAACUGUUUGCCUCAGUUUGUAAAGUAAGCUGGAGAAGGAAAUAGUGAGCCAUUCCUUAGCCUAGAAAAUUCCAAAUGAGGUCACAAUGAGUCAGACGUGAAUGAAUUGAAAAAAAAAAUUAUAAACAGGGAUGACAUUUCUAGGGUAAAGCCUCCAUAAUGAAUCCUAUCUCCGGAGGGCAAUGAGCAAGCUGGGAAGCAAGACAAAGGAAGAAGAGAACCGAGUAGAUGAGCCUUUGCAGGAGAUCCAAGAAGAUGCUGAGAAAAGCUUCCAGAACGUGCCAUGGCAAUAAGAGCAUUUCAGCAGCCAGCUCAGAUCUUGCUCCAAGAACCCCAUCCAGGGAAUUCUUGAGGCUUGUGGAUGGGGGAGCCUUGACCUACUGGAAGGAAAGGGGGGCAGGUGUAUCUCGGCUCUCUCGCACCCCCCCACGUUCUUUCUCUUUAGGUGAAGAGGGGGCCCAUCAGUUGGAAGGAAAGCAUGGGGCACCGCACAGUUGUGGGAAUGGAAGGUGAUUUCCUCGACUGUACAGGCUGUUCCAAAAGCCUUACAGCGAUGAGAAGCUUUAAUAGCCAUUAAAGACUGUUGGGGCGCUCCAUAUGGGCUCUAGUGUGAGUCCUUUCUGCCUCCUUUAUUGCCCUCAUGGCACCAUUUCCCCCCAGUGUUCUCACUGUCCCAUUUUUCUCUCCAUGGAGGAUCUUGGUGAGGUUAAAAGGCUCUCUAUUGCUGUUUCUGAAACUGUUCUCAUUGGGAAGUCUAGUUCCUCUUUCCUCUCUCAGUUACCCCUCCUUCAUUGAAGAUGGAAGGAAGAAUGGAAAGGGGGCCACCUGCCAUUUCAUCUACCUGCCAGACUGGGGGAGGAUCUUGCUCUUUUUCAGCUCUACAUGAUGCCAACUGUUCAAAAUCUCCACUCAGACCCUUAGGGAUACUCCUACAAGUCCAUUGACUUGUCACACAAGUAUAGACUUGGGGUUUUCACAGUUCAGAGGGACCUUGGAGGCAAUCUGUCGCUCACCAGCCAACGUCCAACCUCCAAUGACAAAAAACUUCCUCUUCCCAGGGCAACUCAUUCCAGUUUGGGGACACGAUGACGACAAGGAAUUUCCUUCUUAAGCUGUAAUAGAAUUGGUACGAAGUUCCACGGCAGAAGAGCAGAAGAGAAGGCUGUGGGAGUUGACUUGCCCAGGGUCCCCAGCUAGGAAAUGUCGGAAGCCACAUUUGAACUCGGGCCCUCCCAUCUCUGGGCCUGGCUCUAUCCAGGGAGCCACCCCGCUGCCCUGCAGGGCCAUAUGUGGCUGAGGGUCAAAUACCUUUACACCAAUGGCCUUGAAGAGGGCUGGAUGUCUCAGUGGCAGCUCCACCAUUUCCUUUAUCUGAGCCAACUGUUUCCGGCAACCACCAAUAUCAUCAUAUCCCACUUCAUUGAGAGAUUCCUCUUCAUCCUGGGCAAAAGGAAGUAUAUAUAAAUAUGUGUGUGUCAGCAAAAAUAAGGACUCAAAUUUGUCCAAUGUCAGAACAUAAUUUCAGGGUAAAAGAAGGCCCAGAGAACAUAUUUCCAUAAGGAAUCCUGGUCCUGGAUCCCAAAAAUCCCCUAGGAAGGUCUCUAACAAAGCUACUUAACUGGCUACUGAAAACAAUUCUCUUAGGAGACUCUCCCAAAGACCCAAACUAGGAAAUUAAAGACCUUGAGAGUUCUGAAGGCACUAUUCCCUAGGAAGCUAAACUGUCACUGUGGUCUGAGUAUCCAUUCCCAGGUGUUCUAAAAUUAACCUACGGAAGGGAUUUCAGUACAAAACACUGAAGGCUACACAUCCUGCUGAUUAUUGGCCCACACCUAACCCCAUACUUCUAUAAAGAAAUCUAGAGAGGUAGAACUAGAGAAAACUAUCCUAAAUCUCAAGGAGCAGUUUAGCAUGAGUUUAAACAUGAGGAUGGAGCUCUUCAGCCCCUCUGUUUAUCAUAUUACACCUAACAUAUGAAUUCUCUACUUGGCUUCCCCAUCACUCCUACUCUAAGCCAUUCUUCCCACUCAAAUGAUUGAUAAGCAUUGACUAUGGGAAUGGGGGAAAUGAAAAAAGGAGCUUACUUCUCGUUUGAUGGGUUCCCCUUCACAAUGGAUCACUGUAUCUGGAGCAACAAUGCAAUAGGGGCUGGGAUCUGUCUCUACCACUUUGAACUCUACAGCACGCAUUCCACCACGGACAAGGAAGAUGUCACCUGUAGAAUCAUUGUGGUAUAUCCAGUUAUUAUAGGAAUAAUAGUAUAGCAAUAGUAAGCUAGAAAAGACCAAGUGUGAAGUUCAACCACUAACACUGGUUCCCAGAACUCUGAAAAGCACAUGGUAUACAGGUCCUGAAACUUGGUCAAGGGAAAAAAUAUUAAACUUAGAAAGACUCCUUUGCCACCUGGAUACUCUGUAUAGAAGUCUUUCCAGAAAUCCCAAUAAGUGUCCAUUUUUGCCAUAGGUGAUUAAUAGCCUAAACUUUGAAACAGAGGAAGAAGGGCCAAAAUUAAGUUUCAAUGUAUUAGAGGCAGGAGGAAUCAUGUACUCUGUAGAAAUCAGAAGUGGGCAAACUGGCAAAAACCUUACCUAGGAAAGGUGUUGAGGACCACCAGCAACCCAACCACCACCAUGGCCUAGCCUGGCCUAAGAGAAAUAGAAGAAGUAUCUUUUCUCUCCUGGGGCACAGGAGAUACACCUAUGUGAGUCGGGGCAAAUGGGUAUAAGGAGUUAGAGGGCAAAAUCAGGUGUUAAGCAUUUUCUAGAGGUCAUGGGUACCUGCACCAAGUAACCCUGCCCAUAAUCAAUGACUGUUAUGAAAAUGAAUUUCCUCCUAGUUCAUUUCUCAAAUCCCUAAACUUACCUUUCCGGAUAGGUCGAUAAGCUUCCAGGAAGUACGGCUUGAGGUACACCUCAAAGAGAUUGCCGGUGAUGCCUUCCACCGUGUCAUCGAUGGGCAGCACAUGGAUACGUUUGCCGUACUUCACAUCU